rnacentral:rRNA from 1 species
UUGAACGCUGGCGGCAGGCCUAACACAUGCAAGUCGAACUGUAACAGGAAGAAGCUUGCUUCUUUGCUGACGAGUGGCGGACGGGUGAGUAAUGUCUGGGAAACUGCCUGAUGGAGGGGGAUAACUACUGGAAACGGUAGCUAAUACCGCAUAACGUCGCAAGACCAAAGAGGGGGACCUUCGGGCCUCUUGCCAUCGGAUGUGCCCAGAUGGGAUUAGCUAGUAGGUGGGUUAACGGCUCACCUAGGCGACGAUCCCUAGCUGGUCUGAGAGGAUGACCAGCCACACUGGAACUGAGACACGGUCCAGACUCCUACGGGAGGCAGCAGUGGGGAAUAUUGCACAAUGGGCGCAAGCCUGAUGCAGCCAUGCCGCGUGUAUGAAGAAGGCCUUCGGGUUGUAAAGUACUUUCAGCGGGGAGGAAGGGAGUAAAGUUAAUACCUUGGCUCAUUGACGUUACCCGCAGAAGAAGCACCGGCUAACUCCGUG